GCCUGGGUGGCUCAGUUGGUAAAGUACCUGACUUCGACUCAGGUCAUGAUCUCCUGGUACGUGGGUUUGAGCCCCAUGUCCAUGCA
rnacentral:tRNA from 1 species